rnacentral:rRNA from 1 species
AAUCAACGCUGGCGGCGUGCCUAACACAUGCAAGUCGAGCGCGAAAGCGGGGCAACUCGCAAGUAGAGCGGCGAACGGGUGAGUAACACGUGGGUGAUCUGCCUCCGAGUGGGGAACAACAGCGGGAAACUGCUGCUAAUACCGCAUGACAUCUUCGGGUCACACUGAAGAUCAAAGCCGGGGACCGCAAGGCCUGGCGCUUGGAGAGGAGCCCGCGCCGAUUAGCUAGUUGGCGGGGUAAUGGCCACCAAGGCUCCGAUCGGUAGCCGGCCUGAGAGGGCGGACGGCCACACUGGGACUGAGACACGGCCCAGACUCC